UACGUAGGGUGCGAGCGUUAAUCGGAAUUACUGGGCGUAAAGCGUGCGCAGGCGGUUGUGCAAGACAGAGGUGAAAUCCCCGGGCUUAACCUGGGAAUGGCCUUUGUGACUGCACGGCUAGAGUGUGUCAGAGGGGGGUAGAAUUCCACGUGUAGCAGUGAAAUGCGUAGAGAUGUGGAGGAACACCGAUGGCGAAGGCAGCCCCCUGGGCUAACACUGACGCUCAUGCACGAAAGCGUGGGGAGCAAACAGG
rnacentral:rRNA from 1 species